rnacentral:rRNA from 1 species
GACGAACGCUGGCGGCGUGCUUAACACAUGCAAGUCGAACGGAAAGGCCUCUUUCGGGGGUUACUCGAGUGGCGAACGGGUGAGUAACACGUGAGUAACCUGCCCUUGACGUUGGGAUAACUUCAGGAAACUGGGGCUAUUACCGGAUAGGAGCUCCUGCUGCAUGGUGGGGGUUGGAGAGUUUCGGCGGUUGGGGAUGGACUCGCGGCUUAUCAGCUUGUUUGGGGGGUAGUGGUUUACCAACGCUUUGACGGGUCGCCGGACUGAGAGUGUGAACGGCGACACUGGGACUGAGAGACGGCACAGACGCCUACGAGAGGAAGCAGUGGGGAAGAUUGCACAAUGGGUGGAAGCCUGAUGCAGCAAGGCCGUGUGCGGGAUGACGGCCUUAGGGUGGUAAAACGCUUUCGAUCAUGACGAAGCUUUGUGUGACGGUAGUGGGUAAAGAAGCACCGGCUAACUACGUG